rnacentral:rRNA from 1 species
GACCUGAAUACAUAGGGUUCAAUGAGCGAACCCGGGGAACUGAAACAUCUCAGUACCCGGAGGAAAGGACAUCAACCGAGACUCCCGUAGUAGUGGCGAGCGAACCGGGACCAGGCCAGUGCUGUCGUGACAUAAAGCCGAACGAUCUGGAAAGGUCGGCCAUAGCGGGUGAUAGCCCCGUAGGCGUCAAUUAGCGACAGACUCGAGUAGGGCGGGACACGUGAAAUCCUGUCUGAACAUGGGGGGACCAUCCUCCAAGCCUAAGUACUCCUCAGUGACCGAUAGUGAACAAGUACCGUGAGGGAAAGGUGAAAAGCACCCCGACGAGGGGAGUGAAAUAGAACCUGAAAUCGGAAGCCUACAAGCAGUCGGAGCCACCACGCGUGGUGACGGCGUACCUUUUGUAUAAUGGGUCAGCGACUUCAUGUGCCGUGCAAGCUUAAGCCGUUAGGUGUAGGCGCAGCGAAAGCGAGUCUGAAUAGGGCGAAUAAGUACGUCGCAUGACGACCCGAAACCAGGUGAUCUAUCCAUGAGCAGGUUGAAGGCUGGGUAACACCAGCUGGAGGACCGAACCCGUGCCCGUUGAAAAGGUCUGGGAUGACUUGUGGAUAGGGGUGAAAGGCCAAUCAAACCUGGACAUAGCUGGUUCUCCGCGAAAUCUAUUUAGGUAGAGCGUCAGACGAAUUCCUUGGGGGGUAGAGCACUGGAUGGAUGCGGGCGGCGCGAGCUGUACCAAUUCUAACCAAACUCCGAAUACCCAAGAGAACUAUCUGGCAGACACACGGCGGGUGCUAACGUCCGUCGUGAAAAGGGAAACAACCCUAACCAUCAUCUAAGGCCCCCAAGUAACGGCUAAGUGGGAAACGAUGUGGGAUUGCUUUGACAACCAGGAUGUUGGCUUAGAAGCAGCCAUCAUUUAAAGAAAGCGUAACAGCUCACUGGUCAAGCGAUCCUGCGCGGAAAAUGUAACGGGGCUCAAGCCGUUCGCCGAAGGUAUGGGUGUGCGCAAGCACGCGGUAGCGGAGCGUUCCGUAAGCCUGUGAAGGUCAGCCGUGAGGCUGGCUGGAGGUAUCGGAAGUGAGAAUGCUGACAUGAGUAGCGACAAAGAGUGUGAGAGACACUCUCGCCGAAAGUCCAAGGGUUCCUGCGUAAAGUUAAUCUGCGCAGGGUUAGCCGGCCCCUAAGGCGAGGCCGAAAGGCGUAGUCGAUGGGAACCAGGUAAAUAUUCCUGGGCCAGUUGGAAGUGACGAAUGACGUAAGUUGUCAGGGCUUAUUGGAUUGCUCCUGGCAGCGAAGUUGUUCCUGGAAAUAACUCCAACAGAGACCGUACCCGAAACCGACACAGGUGGACUGGUAGAGCAUACCAAGGCGCUUGAGAGAACUAUGCUGAAGGAACUCGGCAAAUUGCACGCGUAACUUCGGGAUAAGCGUG